CAGCAGUGUGUAUUUCCUUCUGGCCCGUGUUGAAGUGGAUCUCUUUGGUGCCGUCCCUAAGACAAAGAGCAUGUACACAUUAACUAUAACUGAGGAACCAUAUCACAAAGGUGACCUUGGCUGACAGCCCGUCUGCUGACACUUCUUUCGUGGUCCCGUUGGGAAAGGCAAUGAGACGAUCACCAUUAGGCAGAACCUUCUCUAUCUGAAAGUACAACGAAGAGAAACACAAAGGACUAGAAUAUUCCCAUCAGGCAUUUGACUACAACAGCUUGCAUCCCUCAAAGUAUUUUUUAACUGUACUAUGAUUUGAUAAUCCGUCAGAAAGGUCACUGCAUCUGUACACAUCUACAGCAGCAUCUCAAUAACUUAGAACACCACCAAUUAAACAAGGUGGAAUUUUAAGCAUUUGGCUUACAGCUCAUUUAUACCCAAAAUUCAGUUUCUCAGAAAAUAUCAUUACAUAAAACCAAUUUAAUAAUAUAUUUUAAUAUAGAAAUGUCCACCUAAUCUGAUUUCUUUACAUUCUUAGGCUCGUUCAUCCACACCUUUAAUGUCUCUGACCACAACUGUUGAAAAGGCCUUCAUCACUACCUAGAUUUGCUGCAAGAAAGCAAGUUUUUAUGGCCUUGUUAUGUUUUGAUGAACCUUUUAUUUAGAUACAUAGCGAUACGUCUGAAAUAAUGAUCUUUAAAGUAUCUUUUUCUGCUAAACUGUAACAGUGAAUACAUUUUUGUCUUUUCCUGUUUAGAAUAUUUCACCGCAUGUUGGUAACCAGUGAUAUUCUUAUUUGGGUUUUGUUCUGGACUCUUCAAGACAUAAACAAAAGGUUUUGACAGAAUAGAGGAAUUUAUUUUCCUAGCUAUCUGAGACAUGGCAAAUAUAGGGUGUGUAAUAAUCCAUAUAGGGUUUAGUUAAUAAAUGAACUUUUCAAUAAUAUACAUAGUGGCUGUAUUUGGUAAUAGUAGCUGUUUUAAUGCAGCAUAAAAGUUUCAGAAGGUAAAGAAGUGGUAAGGAGGUCAAGCCAGUAAAUAUUAAACAGCAGAUAUCAGCCAGAAGUAACUUUUUCAUUAAAACAAUGAUUUCAGGGGGAAAUAAUAUUUCUUUCCCGUAGCUAGAUAGAUGAGGGAAAGCCUGUUUGCUAUGGACCCAAAGCAACACUAUUCAGCUUUCUGUCUAUUUAUCUCGGGUCAUAUCAGUACCCCAGCAUUCACCAACAUUCUCUCACAUUUUCCUAACAUGGAGGUGAUCCGGCCAGCAGAGGGAAGCAUGACUUUCUCUAACACUUCCUGGUGGACUGCAGCAGUCUGAACAGCCAGCUUGUAGCUUACAGUAGUAGGUCUGCUAGAUAAAUGUCCUCUACAGUCGUCCCCAUGACUGUCAAGGCCACAGCAUAACAAUUCUGUAAAUGUUGUAAAAUGUAAUAAACGCUUGUUAUCAC